AAACUACGUUAAACGGUGUGAAUUGCAGAACACGCAGAACACUGGAACUUUGAACGCACAUGGCAGGUUAGUGUUAUAACUAACCUUUGUCUGUGUGAGGGUUGUAAUCAGAGAAUCAAGGCUAAUUUUUGAAGAGCGGGGAGGUUGCCUAGUCAAUGUGUGACAUGCCCGCUGAUCACCUUAAAAACACACUUGUGUUGCGCCUCUGGCCAGCGUCGGAGGUUAACAGCAACUGGACGAGUGUUUGGGAUGGAAGAGUUUGCUGGACAACAGUAGCUCUCGCUAUCCUGCUUUCUUUCUCACAACCUCACAUCAGGCAAGAUUACCCGCUUAAUUUAA
rnacentral:misc_RNA from 1 species